CCCUUAGAUGUCCUGGGCUGCACGCGCGCUACACUGAUGCAUCCAACAAGUAUUCCUGUCCUGAAAAGGUUGGGUAAUCUCUAAAAAUGCAUCGUGAUGGGGAUAGAUUAUUGCAAUUAUUAAUCUUCAACGAGGAACUCCUAGUAAGUGCAAGUCAUCAGCUUGCGCUGAUUACGUCCCUGCCUAUUGUACACACCGCCCGUCGCUCCUACCGAUUGAAUGAUCCGAUGAAUAUCAUGGAUUGAGGAUGCAAGCAGGUUCGCCUGUCUUCAUCUUCGAGAAGUGAAGUAAAUCUUAUCAUUUAUAGGAAGGAGAAGUCGUAACA
rnacentral:rRNA from 1 species